UCGAGGAUCUUCGUCAAUGGGCGAAAGCCUGAACGAGCGAUGCCGCGUGCGCGAUGAAGGCCUUCGGGUUGUAAAGCGCUGUCGAGGGGGAGAAAAGCCGAAAGGUUUGAUCUAUCCCUGGAGGAAGCUCGGGCUAAGUUCGUGCCAGCAGCCGCGGUAAGACGAACCGAGCGAACGUUGUUCGGAAUCACUGGGCUUAAAGGGCGCGUAGGCGGGCUGUCAAGUCUGGGGGGAAAUCCUACGGCUCAA
rnacentral:rRNA from 1 species